AAUAAGAAAAUGAACUAAUUGUAUAGCUUUUAGAACAAAAUACAGCUCAGGAAUACAAAAAACCAAGCAUAUAUCCUGGAUAAAAUUCAUAAACCUGCUCAAUGAGAGAAAAGUUGGACACAAAAUUGUACUUUAUGUAUUUAUAUAUUUUAUUAUUUCAGGCAAAACAAUCCUAUGGUGAAAGAAAUCAAUGCAGAGAUAAUCUCUGCUUGAGAAAAAAAAUUACCUGGGACAAAAGACAAGUGAAUUUCUGAGGAUGAAAAUAUUGCUUUGAAGGGGUGAAGUUUAUACGGGUCUACUUAUUUGUCUGAAAUGUACAGUUAAAGUUUAUGCCUUGCAAUGUAUGUACAUCUUCACAAAAAAAAUCUUAAAAAAAUUAAGUGAGUUGGGUUGGUAAAGGGUUGAAGUAUAGAUGAAGCAGAAGUGGUACAUGAUUAGUAGUUGAAGCUGGGGGCAGGUCUAUAUAUUUUAUUUUUAUGUCUUUAAUAGCAUUUGUAUAAAUGUACAAUAUUCAUUUACACUGUUACCUCAGGAUCUUGUUUACCUUUGGACAGGGAGGGAGGGAGAAAUUUAUUUUCUGGGUAGGAGUAAAGCUGGUUCUAUUCCUCAGUUAUGUAAAUUAUCUGUUAUAAUCCAAACAGCUUUACAUGAAUGUUUCUGUAUGUAAUGUGGUAUAUCAAUAAAAAAUUAAAUAUUACAUAUUUGCACCAGAAUCCUAACUCACUAUCUCAGAAUGUUAGCAGCAUUUUCUUUUGUUGUAAAGUGGAACACAAUCUCAUGGCAUUAGCAGAUGGGUUUGAAUAUUCUAAAGUAUCAACGUCCUAAUCUCAUGGGCACCUCUUGGGUCUUUCCAUUUUUGCCUUCAUUUGCUAAGUGGCAUGCUUUUGAUUUUUUGAGAUGAAACUUUUUCCCAGCAAAGUCUUUUCCCCACAGUGAUGCUCUGAAAGCCAGGACACCUAGCACAGGACCCUGGGCAUAGUAUGCACUCAGUACAUGUGGAGCAUGUUGAUCAGGAACAAAAGGAGUAGCAAAGGUCAGUUCCUGCAAAGGUGAGUAGAUAAUACAGGUAUGACUGAAAGGCUGCAACUCAGGAGUAAACAUUUUACAUUCAUUCAAGAGACAAUUUGCAACUAGUACACCAAAAAAUUUUGGCUUGAAGCAGUACUUUGGGGACUUGGCUAAACUCUGUAAUCACUUGGAGAACUUUAAACAAUACUGACGUCUGGGCCCUACUCCAGGGAUUUUGAUUUUAUUGGUCUGUUGCAAUUUAGGUUUUGGGAAUUGUAGGGCCUCCGCAUGUGACUGUAAUGUGGAGCCAGGGGUGAGACCCACUGUUUCAGGGUGAGGGAUGCAUUAGCUGUGUGUGAUUUCCAUGUGUGCUGCAAGUAUUUAACCUAUGACCACUCCUGCAUUUGGAGUCUUGGAAAUUGCAGCAGGAGGAAAUGUCUCUCUACAGAUCUAUUUUUUAUGUCACUUGCUUUUAGAGUAAGAGGUU
rnacentral:lncRNA from 1 species